rnacentral:rRNA from 1 species
GACGAACGCUGGCGGCGUGCUUAACACAUGCAAGUCGAACGGAAAGGCCCUGCUUUUGUGGGGUGCUCGAGUGGCGAACGGGUGAGUAACACGUGAGUAACCUGCCCUUGACUUUGGGAUAACUUCAGGAAACUGGGGCUACUACCGGAUAGGAGCUCCUGCUGCAUGGUGGGGGUUGGAAAGUUUCGGCGGUUGGGGAUGGACUCGCGGCUUAUCAGCUUGUUGGUGGGGUAGUGGCUUACCAAGGCUUUGACGGGUAGCCGGCCUGAUAGGGUGACCGGCCACAUUGGGACUGAGAUACGGCCCAGACUCCUACGGGAGGCAGCAGUGGGGAAUAUUGCACAAUGGGCGGAAGCCUGAUGCAGCAACGCCGCGUGCGGGAUGACGGCCUUCGGGUUGUAAUCCGCUUUCGCCUGUGACGAAGCGUGAGUGACGGUAAUGGGUAAAGAAGCACCGGCUAACUACGUG